UCUGAACCUGUAUAUAUAUAUAAGGGUGUUAGGUAAAAUAAUUUAUACUUUUUUCCAUUGCCUCCUUUACAUUAUUCUUUCUAUUUUCUAUAUAUAUAUUAUUAUCUUCUUUCUUUUUAGUUGCACCUGCAUGCUGAUGAGUAGUCAUAUGAUGACUAAUUCAAAAGCCUAUCUUUCUUUUCUUAUUUUUGCUUCUCUCUUAUCUUCUCAUGUCUUGACUCAUGAAUUAUCCGAGGGUAGUUAUAGUGGUUACCAUUCCAAGGAUUUUCAAUGGACUAUGCCUUCUGAGCUACCUAAAGCUAAAAAGGAUGAAUAUACUACUUAUUCACUUGGUUAUUUUCUCAGUGAAAAGCGUCCUAAACGUCGUCGUAUUAAUCCUCCUCCUCCUUCUUCUUCUCCUCGUCGUCGCUCUCCUCCUCCUCUUUCUCCUUCACAGCUAAAUAAAAUGUUUCUAGGUCGUCCACUUGAUCCUACGCCUAUGCCGCCUCUACCUACACCUCCACCAAUAUCCGAUUUUAACCAUUGGAUGGUUUCAUAUAUGGCGAGUUCUACAUUGUAAAAUCAAUAUGGACUUCUCUCUGGACAAUUUAUUAAAAAAAUAUUGAUGAUCCAACAAGUACCAAGUGUCUUGUGAAAAAAAUAAAUUCUGUCAUUUACAAAGACAUACAAUAUAAAACAGUAGUUAUUACUGGAAAAAUAAGAUCAUUAUUAAGCUUGUGAAUA